rnacentral:misc_RNA from 1 species
UUGACAUCGUUGUAGAAGGAACAUCGGACGGGGUCGUGAACUGUGCAGUGUUUUCGUCCGUGAAACUUUUCAAAAUCAGUGCUCCCAACUCAACUUGUUGUUAACAGUAAGAUAAAUGCAAACGUCCAGACUACCGGAAACUGCCUAGAAUUAAUUCGCCGAAAGAUCGCUUCGAGUUUUAACGAGCCUUGCACUCAGAGAAGAUGUCCUCAGGUCGCCCAAUCAAAUGUGUUGUUGUCGGAGAUGGAACAGUUGGUAAAACAUGUAUGUUGAUCUCAUAUACGACGGACAGUUUCCCAGGAGAAUAUGUUCCAACUGUUUUCGAUAACUAUUCAGCGCCAAUGGCAGUUGAUGGUAUACAAGUGUCGUUAGGACUAUGGGACACAGCCGGACAGGAAGAUUAUGAUCGAUUACGACCACUAUCGUAUCCACAAACUGAUGUGUUCUUAAUAUGCUUUAGUGUUGCAAGUCCGUCUUCCUUUGAAAAUGUCACAUCGAAAUGGUAUCCAGAGAUUAAACACCACUGCCCAGAUGCCCCGAUUAUCUUAGUGGGUACAAAAAUAGAUUUACGCGACGACAGAGAAACUUUGAGUGCUCUUGCUGAACAAGGAUUAUCGCCGCUAAAACGGGAACAAGGUCAAAAGCUGGCCAAUAAAAUUAGAGCAGUGAAGUACAUGGAAUGUUCGGCGUUAACACAACGUGGCUUGAAACAGGUUUUCGACGAGGCUGUUAGAGCUGUACUAAGGCCUGAACCGCAGAAACGUCGCCAAAGGAAAUGCGUAGUAAUGUAAAUAGCUAUUAAGGUUUUUACCCAGGAUAAUUUUAUUUUCUCAUUUAUUUUAUUGUUUUAUUUGUAAUAAUGUAAAAAGGAUAGUGAUGGAACUAAAUGCAAAUUACUUAAAAUUAUUGAUGCAUAAAUGACGAAUCUCCUUAAAAUAUUUAAUUUAGGCCUAUUAUAAUACUCAAAGUGUUUUAAAUUUAGCAAAGAUAAAAACGAAUAGCAAGAUAAAUAACUGACAAAGAUGACAAAUUAGAAUUUUCAAAUUUUAUACUAAACUCAGAGAAAAGAAGGGUAGUACCAUAGAAGUCAAUAAGCCAUACAUAGUUUUUAGGACUUCGUUUUGCAGACGGCUUGAUACACCAUAUAUGGAAAAGAUUGAAUUUGUUUUUGUCUAGUUUUCACCCUAAGAUAUACACCACUUCCCCUUAUGGAAUUUUUGGCAGCAAACCAUCCCCGAGUCCUCACAACGAAUGAAUUAUUUUAGUGACUAGCGGCAUUGUGAGGAAGGCAUCAAUAAGUGCUUUUUCUGUUUAAUGUGGCGAGCGCUGGAAGGAAUAUAAAGAGUAAGAGCAAUUACUUACUGGGAACUAAAGCGAUUUAUGUGAGAAUUACCAAAAAAAUGUAAAGACUGAGUUGUGCAGCCGUUUCAUCUCCCCAAGUAAAAUCAAUGCUUUCUAUAUUCCUAGAUUCUUAGGUUUGUAGUGUCCGCCUUAUGAUUGUUAUUCUUGAUGUUAACAUUUUUUAGAAAGACAAAUAGUUGCGAUACGAUAAGUAAACUUAGUUCUCAUCAAAUCGGUAGCUUCAAUCAAAUAAGACUGCUACUAUUACUACCAACAUUUCUACUAUACUGUGAACUCAGAAUUCGGUUUUGAUUUUACUUCUGAAAAGACUAAACUCUGAAAAGUAUUUUUUUUUAUGGAAAGUUUAAAUUUUUUGUACUAAUAUAAGUGAAAUCACAGAAUCUCAUGUACCAGUUGAUAUACUUUGACAUUGUCUUGUAAUCAUAAAUUUGAGUUGAGUUUUUGCAGUUUUUCGUUGUGAUCUUAAGUUAAUAUUAUUUUAAACGUGAACAUUAUUGAAUUGAGCAUCUGAUGUAGUAAUUUAUACAUGACACCAAAGGAUGUAAUGAACUAUUUUGCUAAAAGCUUAUGUUUUAGAGGUUUCUUGAGAGGUCAUCUUAUCUAGUCAAUUGUACAGGAGUGGAUCUGUUAUGCGACUUCAUGUUUCAUCCCAAUGUUUCCUUGAAUCUAUGAACCACACCUUCACUUUGGGUGCCAGCUAUACUCCCGUUUCACCCAAAGUCUGAGUAUCCUAAUUUUGUUGUUGGCGGCAGGUUGACAACCUUCUUUGGUAGUCACUGACUGUUUUCUCUUCACCAAAUUCUCCCUAUAAUUUAACAUCUAUAAAGAAUUUUUUUUUUUUUUAUUCUUGAUGAAUAUGCAUAAUUCCCUAGCAAUAGGAUUUUAAUGCAUUUCCUCAAGAAUGUUUAAAGAAUAUAUCGACAUGAAUUCCAAAUUGAGUGCCAUCAGUCGUGACACCGCCAUCGUUUUAUACUCCCCUUCUCGCCAUCAGCUUAAUCUUUUAGAUCUGCUCCACUACACAAAUCAAUUGGAGUUAUAUUCUCUCACCUUCGCAUCUAUUGAAGCAAAAUUUUAGUUCUGCCUAUUAUAAUCAGUAUAUUAGAAGUAUCUCAUUUAAUCAAAAGCACAAAUCAUCACAAAGCUCAUGAAUGAAUAGGUCUAAGUUUUUUAUUUAUGCUUUAUGAAGUAAAGUGAGUGGCAGGGAACCGAUAUGGAAACUGAAGUCCUACAUUGCAGAGGGCUUCGAAUUAUGCGCAAAUUCACAAUACUCAGUGGAAACAUGUUGUCAAUUUGAUCAAGUUGCUUCGAAUAUAUAAAGCGCAAAUAAAAGACUUAAACAUCAGAAUAUUUCCGAAAACUUUAUUGCGAAUCUCUUUUAAUUAGUAUCGUCUUACAAUUGAAUCUAUUUUUGUACAAAAAGAAAUCAAUCUCAACAAGUUCAUACGAAGCACACUAAAAUCCUGUAAAUGAGAAAUAUAUCGAACAAAUUUGACAAUGAUGAGGAAUAGAAAUUCUUAUUAUAUACAUGAUAUAAUGCUGAAUGCAAACAAUACUGUAUGUAAUCUAAUCAUAUUGUUGUUUUUGUAAGGAUUUUUAAAACAUAUGAGUGUGAAAUAAAAAAAAAUCAUACACAUCACAAA